AUUGAACGCUGGCGGCAGGCCUAACACAUGCAAGUCGAACGGUAACAGGAAACAGCUUGCUGUUUCGCUGACGAGUGGCGGACGGGUGAGUAAUGUCUGGGAAACUGCCUGAUGGAGGGGGAUAACUACUGGAAACGGUAGCUAAUACCGCAUAACGUCGCAAGACCAAAGAGGGGGACCCUCGGGCCUCUUGCCAUCGGAUGUGCCCAGAUGGGAUUAGCUUGUUGGUGGGGUAACGGCUCACCAAGGCGACGAUCCCUAGCUGGUCUGAGAGGAUGACCAGCCACACUGGAACUGAGACACGGUCCAGACUCCUACGGGAGGCAGCAGUGGGGAAUAUUGCACAAUGGGCGCAAGCCUGAUGCAGCCAUGCCGCGUGUAUGAAGAAGACCUUCGGGUUGUAAAGUACUUUCAGCGGGGAGGAAGGGAGUAAAGUUAAUACCUUUGCUCAUUGACGUUACCCGCAGAAGAAGCACCGGCUAACUCCGUG
rnacentral:rRNA from 1 species